GUGAGGAAUAUUGGACAAUGGGCGCAAGCCUGAUCCAGCCAUGCCGCGUGCAGGAAGACGCAUCUAUGGUGUGUAAACUGCUUUUGUACGGGAAGAAACACUCCCUCGUGAGGGAGCUUGACGGUACCGUAAGAAUAAGGAUCGGCUAACUCCGUGCCAGCAGCCGCGGUAAUACGGAGGAUCCAAGCGUUAUCCGGAAUCAUUGGGUUUAAAGAGUCCGUAGGCGGUUUAAUAAGUCAGUGGUGAAAGCCCAUCGCUCAACGAUGGAACGGCCAUUGAUACUGUUAGACUUGAAUUACAAGGAAGUAACUAGAAUAUGUAGUGUAGCGGUGAAAUGCUUAGAUAUUACAUGGAAUACCAAUUGCGAAGGCAGGUUACUACUUGUGGAUUGACGCUGAUGGACGAAAGCGUGGGGAGCGAACAGGAUUAGAAACCCUUGUAGUCC
rnacentral:rRNA from 1 species